rnacentral:snoRNA from 1 species
AGCCUCUGAUUCCCUUUGCCAUCUCAUCUAAACACUGGCCUGGGUGGUCAUAAAAGGAGGAACAGGGACUCGGAAGCUGACCCCACAGUGCUUCGUAGCACGUCAGUUAGCUUCAAACAGGU